rnacentral:pre_miRNA from 1 species
UCAGUUGUACUUGGUACCACAUUUUAUAUUGUGUUAAAAGUGGUGUCAUGUACGAUUGUG